rnacentral:rRNA from 1 species
GUUCGUAGGCGGUGUGGCAAGUCGGGAGUGAAAUCUCUGGGCUUAACUCAGAGUCUGCUUCCGAAACUGCUGUGCUUGAGUGUGGGAGAGGCGCGUGGAAUUGCAGGUGUAGCGGUGAAAUGCGUAGAUAUCUGCAGGAACACCCGUGGCGAAAGCGGCGCGCUGGACCACUACUGACGCUGAGGAACGAAAGCUAGGGGAGCAAACAGGAUUAGAUACCCUGGUAGUCCUAGCCCUAAACGAUCAGGACUUGGGGUGCCGCACGUUCGUGCGUCGUCCCGGAGCUAACGCGUUAAGUCCUGCACCUGGGGAGUACGGUCGCAAGACUGAAACUCAAAGGAAUUGACGGGGGCCCGCACAAGCGGUGGAACAUGUGGUUCAAUUCGACGCUACGCGAGGAACCUUACCUGGGCUCGAAGCGCACUUGACUAGCUAUAGAAAUAUGGCCUUCCCGCAAGGGACAAGUGUGGAGGCGCUGCAUGGCUGUUGUCAGCUCGUGCCGUGAGGUGUUGGGGUUAAGUCCCGCAACGAGCGCAAUCCUCUGCACGUAGUU